UACGUAGGGGGCAAGCGUUGUCCGGAUUUAUUGGGCGUAAAGAGCGUGUAGGCGGCUUUACAGGUCCGUUGUGAAAACUCGAGGCUCAACCUCGAGACGCCGGUGGAAACCGUAAGGCUAGAGUCCGGAAGAGGAGAGUGGAAUUCCUGGUGUAGCGGUGAGAUGCGCAGAUAUCAGGAAGAACACCCGUGGCGAAGGCGGCUCUCUGGGACGGUACUGACGCUGAGACGCGAAAGCGUGGGGAGCGAACAGG
rnacentral:rRNA from 1 species